rnacentral:SRP_RNA from 1 species
CCGUGCUGGGCGGGGAGCCAGCGGUGCCCUGUACUCGCAAUCCGCUAUAGCGAGGCUGAUUUCCCGAUUGAGGCGAAUUUCCGGUGGGACUGGCUCUUACCCGCCGGUGCUGAAGGCCGGGUCCCGUGCGGCGGAAUUCCAUGAAUCCCGUCAGGUCCGAGAGGAAGCAGCGGUAAGUGGGUCUUUCCGGGUGACGCGGGGUUACCUGGCCGGAGCUGGCGCUGGGAGCAAAGCCAUCGGUUUUCCGCCGAUAAAGGGUGCACGG